UACGUAGGGGGCAAGCGUUGUCCGGAUUUAUUGGGCGUAAAGAGCGUGUAGGCGGCCAUUCAGGUCAGCUGUGAAAAACUCGAGGCUCAACCUCGAGACGUCGGUUGAAACCGUUUGGCUAGAGUCCGGAAGAGGAGAGUGGAAUUCCCGGUGUAGCGGUGAAAUGCGCAGAUAUCGGGAAGAACACCCGGUGGCGAAGGCGGGUCUC
rnacentral:rRNA from 1 species